AGGACAAAGACCAAGUGCAAUGAAAAAGGUCGGGAUUCUUAUGUUUGGAGCAGAAAACAUUAUGCCUGGAGCUCAAGAGGAUAUGAUGAUGCCUAUUUAAGUGGAUGGAUAACAAGCGAUCUUAAAGAUGGAUUAUAUGUGCAGUACCCGAUAAGAAAACCGCUUUGAUACUAUACCCCAGGGACAGGUAAUUCAACUUUUCCUUCAGAGGGAUAGUUUACUGUUACAUUGUUAUUUGUUUCUUUACAACAAAUUUUAGAGAACAGGCAUUGGCCUGGGUAUUUUGUAUCAAUUUUAUUUUAAUUACUUUUUAUCCUGUACACUGGAGACUUUAAUUCCUACUAUACACUGGGACUAAUUGGUUCACUUGGCAUUGUUGUACACUUGGUAGGAUUUUAAAGGGGUUGUUCACCUUCAA